rnacentral:lncRNA from 1 species
AAAAAAUAUAUAAAAGUUAUAAACUGAAUGUAAAGCAGCUCAAAUCAUUGAUCUUUGGAGACUUUGAUGAGAAAUGUUUGAGCUCAUAUUGAGAUCUCUGACUUCUGAUGCAGACUUUGGCAUCUUGAGCACAGUUUGAGAUUGUUUUUCUCAUCCGAGAAGCAGGAUUUUCUAUUUGCUACGCGUUUUAUCAUUUAAACUGCUAUUUAGGAGAAACCUCCGCGACAUUAAACAGAUCUAUCAAUCUGUGUCUCCUCACAAAAACACCUGACUCGGAGCAUGCUGGUCCAAUCACAGAGAGGCUGUGGGCAGCUGUCUGCUCCAUCUGUCUGCUGUCGGUUCGAGUGCUGAGCGCCGGUGCUCUUUAACUCUGUGAGUCUGGCUGUGUGUUCACUGUCUGUCUCUCUCUCCCUCCGUCUGUCUCUCUCAUGGCCUCCGAGCGCUCGUCCGCUGAGAGUCGCUCCUCGCACCUGAGCUCUGACCCGACCAUCGGCACCGACGCUUCGGCCAACAGCAUGUGGGAGGAGAGCUUCGACACAGAGAAUCAUGGUGUGAGCACUAAGAGAGAUUACUCUCCCGUGUCCUGGAGCGAAUACUUUGAAAUGAUGGACGACGUGGUCAUCGGGCAGCGAUGGCCAGUCGGGUCACUUGUCGGGUGUUGGCCAUGGAUCUCAGGGGUCACGGUGAGAUCAAACUUCUAGCUUUAGUUUAGGUUUAACCUGCAGCAGUUACCCGUGUGCACUGAUCUGACUAGUACAAUCACAAACAGGUGCUACGCAGGUCCGGCACGCCGAUGACCUCUCCACACAAACCAUGUCCAGGUAAAACACGCACAGAUAUCAUUAACAGGCUGUAGUAUUCAGAGCUGACCAAUCACCUCCUCUGCUCACAGAGACGUAGCCAAUGUGGUGCGAGCGACGUACGGCGAGACCCCGCCCCCCAUCAUCCUGGUGGGUCACAAUGUGGGCGGAGCCAUCGCGGUGCAUGCGUCCAGUGGACUGCUGCCCUCUGUGGUGGGGCUGGUGGCCAUCGACGUGGUGGAGGGUGAGAAACACUGCGUCAUCUGUCAAUAUGAACCAGCAUCAUCGUCAAAAUGGAUGCACUGAUAUCACAAAAAAAAGAAAAC